rnacentral:rRNA from 1 species
CAUGGCCUAGAGUGGCCCGCCAUGCCGCGUGUGUGAAGAAGGUCUUCGGAUUGUAAAGCACUUUAAGUUGGGAGGAAGGGCCAUUACCUAAUACGUGAUGGUUUUGACGUUACCGACAGAAUAAGCACCGGCUAACUCUGUGCCAGCAGCCGCGGUAAUCA